GAGUUUGAUCAUGGCUCAGAACGUACGCUGGCGGCACGCCUAACACAUGCAAGUCGAACGAAGUAGCAAUACUUAGUGGCAGACGGGUGAGUAACAUGUAGGUAUCUGCCCUUUGGCCUGGAAUAACACGAGGAAACUUGUGCUAAUACCGGAUAAGUCUUUACGGAGAAAGCUUUAUGCACCAUUGGAUGAGCCUGCACUUGAUUAGUUUGUUGGUGGGGUAAUGGCCUACCAAGACUGUGAUCAAUAGCUGAUUUGAGAGGAUGAUCAGCCACAUUGGGACUGAGACACGGCCCAAACUCCUACGGGAGGCAGCAGUGGGGAAUCUUGCACAAUGGAGGAAACUCUGAUGCAGCGAUGCCGCGUGAGUGAAGAAGGCCCUUGGGUUGUAAAGCUCUUUCGUCGGGGAAGAAAAUGACUGUACCCGAAUAUGAAGGUCCGGCUAACUUCGUGCCAGCAGCCGCGGUAAUACGAAGGGACCUAGCGUAGUUCGGAAUUACUGGGCUUAAAGAGUUCGUAGGUGGUUGAAAAAGUUAGUGGUGAAAUCCCAGAGCUUAACUCUGGAACUGCCAUUAAAACUUUUCAGCUAGAGUAUAAUAGAGGAAAGCAGAAUUUCUAGUGUAGAGGUGAAAUUCGUAGAUAUUAGAAAGAAUACCAAUUGCGAAGGCAGCUUUCUGGAUCAUUACUGACACUGAGGAACGAAAGCAUGGGUAGCGAAGAGGAUUAGAUACCCUCGUAGUCCAUGCCGUAAACGAUGUGUGUUAGACGUUGGAAAUUUAUUUUCAGUGUCGCAGGGAAACCGAUAAACACACCGCCUGGGGAGUACGACCGCAAGGUUAAAACUCAAAUGAAUUGACGGGGACCCGCACAAGUAGUGGAGCAUGUGGUUUAAUUCGAAGAUACGCGCAGAUCCUUACCAACACUUGACAUGUUCGUCGCGACUCUAAGAGAUUAGAGUUUUCGGUUCGGCCGGACGAAACACAGGUGCUGCAUGGCUGUCGUCAGCUCGUGUCGUGAGAUGUUGGGUUAAGUCCCGCAACGAGCGCAACCCUCACUUUUAGUUGCCAUCAUUAAGUUGGGCACUCUGAAAGAACUGCCAGUGAUAAGCUGGAGGAAGGUGGGGAUGACGUCAAGUCCUCAUGGCCCUUACGUGUUGGGCUACACACGUGCUACAAUGGUAUCUACAACAGGGAGCAAGACUGCGAAGUUAAGCAAAUCCCUAAAAGAUACCUCAGUUCGGAUUGCACUCUGCAACUCGAGUGCAUGAAGCUGGAAUUACUAGUAAUCGUGGAUCAGCGUGCCACGGUGAAUGCGUUCCCGGGUCUUGUACACACCGCCCGUCACACCAUGGGAGUUGGUUCUACCUUAAGGCAAGGUUUCAAACCCUUGACCACGGUAUAGUCAGCGACUGGGGUGAAGUCGUAACAAGGUAACC
rnacentral:rRNA from 1 species